rnacentral:rRNA from 1 species
GACGAACGCUGGCGGCGUGGAUUAGGCAUGCAAGUCGAACGGUAUCAUCCUUUCGGGGGUGAGAGAGUGGCGAACUGGUGAGUAACACGUAGGUUAUCUACCCUCAAGACGGGGACAACCCAGGGAAACUUGGGCUAAUACCGGAUGUGAGCAACUUUUAGUUGUUUGAAAGGUGGCGUAAGCUGUCGCUUGGGGAUGAGCCUGCGUCCUAUUAGUUAGUUGGUGAGGUAACGGCUCACCUAGGCAAUGAUAGGUAGGCGGCCUUAACGGGUGGUCGCCCACACUGGGAUUGAGAUACGGCCCAGACUCCUACGGGAGCAGCAGUCGAGAAUAGUCUACAAUGGUCGGAAGACUGAUAGUGCGACGCCGCGUGAACGAUGAAUCCCUUCGGGGUGUAAAGUUCUUUUAUAUGUGAGCAGUGCUUCUUAUAUUAACAGUAUGGGGAAGAGAUAUUAGCAUAUGAAUAAGCAACGGCUAACUCCGUGCCAGCAGCCGCGGU